rnacentral:rRNA from 1 species
UACAGAGGGUGCGAGCGUUAAUCGGAAUUAUUGGGCGUAAAGGGCGCGUAGGUGGCUCUAUAAGUUAAGUGUGAAAUCCCAUGGCUUAACCAUGGAAUUGCACUUGAUACUGUGGAGCUAGAGUAUGGUAGAGGGAAGUGGAAUUUCCGGAGUAGCGGUGAAAUGCGUAGAUACCGGAAGGAACACCAGUGGCGAAGGCGGCUUCCUGGACCAAUACUGACACUGAGGCGCGACAGCGUGGGGAGCAAAC